ACGGCCAGAGCUACACAGAGGAACCCUGUUUCAAACAAAAAUAAAACAAAUACAAAGACCUGAUACCAUUUGUCUUAGUCAGGGUUUCUAUUCCUAGACAAAACAUCAUGACCAAGAAGCAAGUUGGGGAGGAAAGGGUUUAUUCAGCUUACACUUCCAUACUGCUGUUCAUCACCAAGGGAUGUCAGGACUGGAAUUCAAGCAGGUCAGAAAGCAGGAGCUGAUGCAGAGGCCAUGGAGGGAUGUUCUUUACUGGCCUGCUUCCCCUGGCUUGCUCAGCCUGCUCUCUUAUAGAACCCAGGACUACCAGCCCAGGAAUGGUCCCACCCACAAGGGGCCUUUCCCCCUUGAUCACUAAUUGAGAAAAUGCCUUACAGCUGGAUCUCGUGGAGGCACUUCCCCAACUG
rnacentral:lncRNA from 1 species